rnacentral:rRNA from 1 species
UACGUAGGGUGCAAGCGUUGUCCGGAAUUAUUGGGCGUAAAGAGCUCGUAGGCGGUCUGCCGCGUCUGCUGUGAAAACUCAGGGCUUAACCCUGAGCUUGCAGUGGGUACGGGCAGACUAGAGUGCGGUAGGGGAGACUGGAAUUCCUGGUGUAGCGGUGAAAUGCGCAGAUAUCAGGAGGAACACCGGUGGCGAAGGCGGGUCUCUGGGCCGUAACUGACG